rnacentral:lncRNA from 1 species
UAAAUCCUAAGGGGUACUAGGCUAAAAUUCAAAGAGACAAAAGAGACUUGAAAGAAACUGAGGGAGUUGAAUUUGCAAAAUAUUUCAUUCACUUCAACAACUCUAUAUUAACUCUUUUCGUACAUAUUUUUUUUCUCCUUUCACUUUUUUCUUCUUUUUCUUCUUCUUUUUCAUAAGGAGUAUGUAUUGACAUGUAUACAUCUUUCUAUUUUUUUCAUUCAUUUUUUUUUCUAUUUUCUUUUUCUAUUUUUCUUUUUUUUACUAUCAACUUCUGAAAUAUUACAAACAUAAUUAUUCAACCUCACACAACUCCAAAC